rnacentral:rRNA from 1 species
AGUGGGAGCACGCUUAGGCGUGUGACUGCGUACCUUUUGUAUAAUGGGUCAGCGACUUAUAUUCUGUAGCAAGGUUAACCGAAUAGGGGAGCCGAAGGGAAACCGAGUCUUAACUGGGCGUUAAGUUGCAGGGUAUAGACCCGAAACCCGGUGAUCUAGCCAUGGGCAGGUUGAAGGUUGGGUAACACUAACUGGAGGACCGAACCGACUAAUGUUGAAAAAUUAGCGGAUGACUUGUGGCUGGGGGUGAAAGGCCAAUCAAACCGGGAGAUAGCUGGUUCUCCCCGAAAGCUAUUUAGGUAGCGCCUCGUGAAUUCAUCUCCGGGGGUAGAGCACUGUUUCGGCAAGGGGGUCAUCCCGACUUACCAACCCGAUGCAAACUGCGAAUACCGGAGAAUGUUAUCACGGGAGACACACGGCGGGUGCUAACGUCCGUCGUGAAGAGGGAAACAACCCAGACCGCCAGCUAAGGUCCCAAAGUCAUGGUUAAGUGGGAAACGAUGUGGGAAGGCCCAGACAGCCAGGAUGUUGGCUUAGAAGCAGCCAUCAUUUAAAGAAAGCGUAAUAGCUCACUGGUCGAGUCGGCCUGCGCGGAAGAUGUAACGGGGCUAAACCAUGCACCGAAGCUGCGGCAGCGACGCUUAUGCGUUGUUGGGUAGGGGAGCGUUCUGUAAGCCUGUGAAGGUGUGCUGUGAGGCAUGCUGGAGGUAUCAGAAGUGCGAAUGCUGACAUAAGUAACGAUAAAGCGGGUGAAAAGCCCGCUCGCCGGAAGACCAAGGGUUCCUGUCCAACGUUAAUCGGGGCAGGGUGAGUCGACCCCUAAGGCGAGGCCGAAAGGCGUAGUCGAUGGGAAACAGGUUAAUAUUCCUGUACUUGGUGUUACUGCGAAGGGGGGACGGAGAAGGCUAUGUUGGCCGGGCGACGGUUGUCCCGGUUUAAGCGUGUAGGCUGGUUUUCCAGGCAAAUCCGGAAAAUCAAGGCUGAGGCGUGAUGACGAGGCACUACGGUGCUGAAGCAACAAAUGCCCUGCUUCCAGGAAAAGCCUCUAAGCAUCAGGUAACAUCAAAUCGUACCCCAAACCGACACAGGUGGUCAGGUAGAGAAUACCAAGGCGCUUGAGAGAACUCGGGUGAAGGAACUAGGCAAAAUGGUGCCGUAACUUCGGGAGAAGGCACGCUGAUAUGUAGGUGAAGUCCCUCGCGGAUGGAGCUGAAAUCAGUCGAAGAUACCAGCUGGCUGCAACUGUUUAUUAAAAACACAGCACUGUGCAAACACGAAAGUGGACGUAUACGGUGUGACGCCUGCCCGGUGCCGGAAGGUUAAUUGAUGGGGUCAGCGCAAGCGAAGCUCUUGAUCGAAGCCCCGGUAAACGGCGGCCGUAACUAUAACGGUCCUAAGGUAGCGAAAUUCCUUGUCGGGUAAGUUCCGACCUGCACGAAUGGCGUAAUGAUGGCCAGGCUGUCUCCACCCGAGACUCAGUGAAAUUGAACUCGCUGUGAAGAUGCAGUGUACCCGCGGCAAGACGGAAAGACCCCGUGAACCUUUACUAUAGCUUGACACUGAACAUUGAGCCUUGAUGUGUAGGAUAGGUGGGAGGCUUAGAAGUGUGGACGCCAGUCUGCAUGGAGCCGACCUUGAAAUACCACCCUUUAAUGUUUGAUGUUCUAACGUUGACCCGUAAUCCGGGUUGCGGACAGUGUCUGGUGGGUAGUUUGACUGGGGCGGUCUCCUCCUAAAGAGUAACGGAGGAGCACGAAGGUUGGCUAAUCCUGGUCGGACAUCAGGAGGUUAGUGCAAUGGCAUAAGCCAGCUUGACUGCGAGCGUGACGGCGCGAGCAGGUGCGAAAGCAGGUCAUAGUGAUCCGGUGGUUCUGAAUGGAAGGGCCAUCGCUCAACGGAUAAAAGGUACUCCGGGGAUAACAGGCUGAUACCGCCCAAGAGUUCAUAUCGACGGCGGUGUUUGGCACCUCGAUGUCGGCUCAUCACAUCCUGGGGCUGAAGUAGGUCCCAAGGGUAUGGCUGUUCGCCAUUUAAAGUGGUACGCGAGCUGGGUUUAGAACGUCGUGAGACAGUUCGGUCCCUAUCUGCCGUGGGCGCUGGAGAACUGAGGGGGGCUGCUCCUAGUACGAGAGGACCGGAGUGGACGCAUCACUGGUGUUCGGGUUGUCAUGCCAAUGGCACUGCCCGGUAGCUAAAUGCGGAAGAGAUAAGUGCUGAAAGCAUCUAAGCACGAAACUUGCC